rnacentral:rRNA from 1 species
CCCUUAGAGUUUGAUCCUGGCUCAGAUUGAACGCUGGCGGCAGGCCUAACACAUGCAAGUCGAGCGCGAAAAGUUUUCGGACUUAGUAAAGCGGCGGACGGGUGAGUAACGCGUGGGAAUCUGCCUGGUAGUGGGGGACAACAGCCGGAAACGGCUGCUAAUACCGCAUACGCCCUACGGGGGAAAGGGGGGGAUCUUCGGACCUCUCGCUAUCAGAUGAGCCCGCGUCGGAUUAGCUUGUUGGUGAGGUAAAGGCUCACCAAGGCGACGAUCCGUAACUGGUCUGAGAGGAUGAUCAGUCACACUGGAACUGAGACACGGUCCAGACUCCUACGGGAGGCAGCAGUGGGGAAUAUUGGACAAUGGGGGCAACCCUGAUCCAGCCAUGCCGCGUGUGUGAAGAAGGCCUUAGGGUUGUAAAGCACUUUCAGUGGGGAGAAAGGUAAUUCACCUAAUACGUGAGUUAAUUGAUGCUACCCACAGAAGAAGCACCGGCUAACUCCGUGCCAGCAGCCGCGGUAAUACGGAGGGUGCAAGCGUUAAUCGGAAUUACUGGGCGUAAAGCGCACGUAGGUGGUUUUCUAAGCCAGCUGUGAAAUCCCCGGGCUCAACCUGGGACUUGCAGUUGGAACUGGAAAGCU